UUUUUUUUUUUUUUUGAGAAGAGAGAAGCAAGGGCUACUAAAAGGUGUAAACAAUUUAAUGGGUAUCAAAAGGUAAUGACAAAACUCAUUCAGACCAUUGCAAGCUGACUGACAGGUGAGUUGAUAAUAAAUUUGGGGAAAACAUCACUAAUCCAGAGUGUUCUGAUCAUGGGGUCUCCACCAUUGGUGCCCCAUUUUUGCUCCUUCUUCCACAAGCUGAAUUGCAUUGUGACCUCUGCAUUUCAGGAAUGUGACUCCUGUCCUUGACCUCCUCUGCAGAUAAAUACAACUUGUCCUUUAGUGUCGAGCGGUUUGGGAAGAACGUCAGGCAGACAAGAGAGGGGAGGUAGAGGAAAGACAGGUGAGGAUGUUUUAUAUCUGCUCUUCUUCUGAACCAUCAAAACAGGGUCUCAGCACAUGCAAGUGCAGGCUCCAGCCACAACAAGGGGGAAGAAACAAUCCAUAAGAAAGGGGGGCAGGUGAGUUCCCCCAGCCCCUGGCUCUGCAGGCUCUGGAUUGGGAGCUUUCAGACAGUGGGUGCCUGUACACAGCUCUGCUGGGACCUGCCUGGGCUGGGAAUGCUGCACGGGUGAGCUGGUCCAGGGCAAGGGCUGGGCUGCCUGCCUCAGCCUGGGCAAGAACACUAACAAAACACAAGCCCACCAGAGUGUAUCCCAAAAUCUGCUUCUUGUGCUGGCAAGGCAAGAACAAGUGGUGGUGUUUCUGUGCUGGGAGUAUUGCUGGAAUGAUCUGCUGUCAGUCUAGGCUGUGAUGGGAGCUGGGCUCUCUGCUUCUGCAGUGUGGGAAUUGCCUUUUCCAGCUGCCAAUCUCAAAGUCAAGCUUUCUGAGCACAAAUAAAAUGGGAUAUUGCGCACACACACAACCCUUUUCAACUGUCACUGAUAUUUAGCAGAGGGAAUAUUCAAAACAUUAUUCCCUCCAAUACAGAAUGGCUGCUGGGUGUUGCCAGACCAUGUGAAAUAACAGCUGAGUGGAAUUUUAUCAGCAACAAACAAGAAACAAAUGAAGAAGGGAGGAUUAAAAAAUUCUCUUUUUUUUUCCUAUCUAUACUAUGAUUUGUUAUGUAGGUAUGUACAACAUAAUGUUACUUGUUACAGAAGGGAAUGUUACCGUGUCAAGCACCAGUUAGGGACAAGUUGGGGAGCAGGAGGGUGGUACUUUCACAUAUUACUGGGGUCAGCACGAAUCCUCCACUACUUUAAUUAAGAGGGGAUCAAAAGGUUUGAUGGGAUGGAGAAAUACAAGGAGGUUAAAAUGUGGCAGGUAUGGGCAACCUCAUGUACACAGACCUUUGCCUCAGAAAGCAGAAUGUUCUUGCAAAUCUGACACAAUCCAAUUCCUUGACUUCCUCAGUGACAUUUCUGCAGGCUCAUGCACAGAAGGACAGGGAAAUGGAGAUUUAUGACAGCUAUUCCUAGCAAAGGUCAUUUUUCAAUUGGUGAACAACCUGUCCUUAGUCACGCCAAUGACGAGGCAUUGAAGGAUAAGGGAGAGGCUGGAGAGCUUUAAAGCCUGACGGAAUAAUAGAAAUACAGCAUAGAUCAUCCCUCUACUUGGGCCAGGAAGUUUGACUUUUUCCACCAGCAGUCAAAGCCAUGGAACAGGAGGCAAAAUCCAGAAAAAAAAAUACACAGGGAUUUCUGUCGAGAUUGUGACUGGAGAUUUCUGUGGAGAUUGUGAGUCUGAGUGUCGAGACAGCAAGGGGAAAAGAGGAGCCACAGAGCAUGAGCUUUUGGCUAGGAAGGGUGUCCUUGGUGAUUAUAAAGAGCAGGGUUAGGUUGCUCUGGGGCUUCCCUGGCCAGCCCCACCAAGCUCCCAGCUUGAGCAGCUCUCAGCAUCCUGUGCUGUGCCACUUCCAGGGCAACACAGAUGAUACACAAACAACACAAAUACACACAAAUGAACUUCCUCAGCUGUCCUUCCACAGGCAAGGAAGGCAGCAGAUGUGACACACGUAUGGUUUAAAUAGAUUGUGUCAUACACAUUAAAUAAUAAAACAGUACCUACCCAUUCAUGACAUGACUAUUCUUCCUGCUUGCAGAAGAGAUUUGACACUGUACAUAAAGUAAAGCACCGUUUUUUUUUGUAAUCAGAAGGACCCUUCUGGGAGUUACACAAGAGUUUUUCACUCAGCUACUGACAUUAAAAGAGAGCACUGAGUACCUUGGUGUAACCAGCUUGUUUUCAAGCUCAUAAUAUUGGAUUAAGUAAAAAUGUGACCAUUUGCCCAAAGCUUGGCUCAGAUCCUGAGCUGACGAUGGUUUGAGCUGGGCCAUUGUCACAAAUCGGGCUCGUGGCCAGCAGGACCAGUCAAGAGAUGUUUGCAAUUUGGAAAUGAAGUCAACACAGGGGUCCUUGCUGACCCAUCUGAGUGCUCUGACCCAAGGAGGAGCUUUGGGGCUCCUCAUCCCUGUCCUUGCUAAUCCCUUUUUGCCAUUUAUUGGCUCCCCUGGGCUCUGAGCUGCCAGCAGAAGUCACAAGAGCUUUUGAGUUGGUCUGGUGUAAGACUCAGUAACCUGAGAAUGCUGUGGUGGCCUCUGGCUUCCAAUCUGCAGCUGAAGAUCUCACCCUUCCUCCCACAGUAAUUCCUCUCACCCUCUGAAACCUCCCAAGCUUUCCCCAAAAUCACAAGAACUGAGGAUGGCUGCUCUUAAAAGCUGUAAACCAGAUAAUCUGUAGGAUAAUUGCCUGUGUUGUAUUUCUCCCCACACAACAAAGGCAAAAGCAGCCUUACACUGUGUACCUCCCAGCCUGGUGUAACUUGAACCCAAAAGCUAUGAAGGAAAUGGAAAAUGUUAAUAAAUAAUGAUGUUUGAAA
rnacentral:lncRNA from 1 species